GAUUUUGGGAAUGGGCAGGCAAGGUUAACGUCAAUCCAUGGAGGCAAAAAGGCCAUUGUUGAAGUUUAAUUCAAUAAGACAAAAGCUGCUGAAGGAGGGGUGAAAACAAAUAGAAUGGAGGGCCAGAAAGGUCAUGUUUGGUAAAGGUCAGGUGGCGUGGUUAAAGAGGAUGAUAGUGGUGUGAUUGUUAGGUCAGGUGGCGUGGUUAAAGAGGAUGAUAGUGGUGUGAUUGUUAGGUCAGGUGGCGUGGUUAAAGAGGAUGAUAGUGGUGUGAUUGUUAGGUCAGGUGGCGUGGUUAAAGAGGAUGAUAGUGGUGUGAUUGUUAGGUCAGGUGGCGUGGUUAAAGAGGAUGAUAGUGGUGUGAUUGUUAGGUCAGGUGGCGUGGUUAAAGAGGAUGAUAGUGGUGUGAUUGUUAGGUCAGGUGGCGUGGUUAAAGAGGAUGAUAGUGGUGUUAUGUUGUUAUGUGUGAUGAUUGUUAGGUCAGGUGGCGUGGUUAAAGAGGAUGAUAGUGGUGUGAUUGUUAGGUCAGGUGGCGUGGUUAAAGAGGAUGAUAGUGGUGUUAUGUUGUUAUGUGUGAUGAUUGUUAGGUCAGGUGGCGUGGUUAAAGAGGAUGAUAGUGGUGUUAUGUUGUUAUGUGUGAUGAUUGUUAGGUCAGGUGGUGUGGUUAAAGAGGAUGAUAGUGGUGUUAUGUGAUGAUUGUUAGGUCAGGUGACGUGGUUAAAGAGGAUGAUAGUGGUGUUAUGUUGUUAUGUGUGAUAAUUGUUAGGU